rnacentral:rRNA from 1 species
CACGUAGGGGGCAAGCGUUGUCCGGAUUUAUUGGGCGUAAAGAGCUCGUAGGCGGCUCAGUAAGUCAGGUGUGAAACCUCCAGGCUCAACCUGGAGACGCCACCUGAUACUGCUGUGGCUAGAGUCCGGUAGGGGAGCGUGGAAUUCCUGGUGUAGCGGUGAAAUGCGCAGAUAUCAGGAGGAACACCAAUAGCGAAGGCAGCUCGCUGGGACGGUAUUGACGCUGAGGCGCGAAAGCGUGGGGAGCAAACAGG